rnacentral:rRNA from 1 species
AAAGCGCGCGUAGGUGGUUUGUUAAGUUGAAUGUGAAAUCCCCGGGCUCAACCUGGGAACUGCAUCCAAAACUGGCAAGCUAGAGUUUGGCAGAGGGGGGUAGAAUUCCACGUGUAGCAGUGAAAUGCGUAGAUAUGUGGAGGAACACCGAUGGCGAAGGCAGCCCCCUGGGUCAAAACUGACGCUCAUGCACGAAAGCGUGGGGAGCAAACAGGAUUAGAUACCCGGGU